rnacentral:rRNA from 1 species
CCUACGGGAGGCAGCAGUGAGGAAUAUUGGUCAAUGGGCGCGAGCCUGAACCAGCCAAGUAGCGUGAAGGAUGACUGCCCUACGGGUUGUAAACCUUUUUUAUAAAGGAAUUAAUUGAGGCAUGUGUCCCUUUUUCCAUGUACUUUAUGAAUAAGGAUAGGCUAACUCCGCGCCAGCAGCCGCGGUAAUACGGAGGAUCCGAGCGUUAACCGGAUUUAUUCGGUUUAACGGGAGCGUAGAUGGGAUGUUAAGUCAGAUGUGAAAGUUUGUGGCUCAACCAUAAAAUUGAAAUUGAUACUGUCAGUCUUGAGUACAGUUGAGGUAGGCGGAAUUCGUGGUGUAGCGGUGAAAUGCUUAGAGAUCACGAAGAACUCCGAUUGCGAAGGCAGCUUGCUAAACUGCCACUGACAUUGAUGCUCGAAAGUGUGGGUAUCAAACAGGAUUAGAUACCCUUGUAGUC